rnacentral:lncRNA from 1 species
GCACCGCCUUGCUUUUCCCCCCUGCCCCAGAGUGGAGGCUCAGCCACCGACACUGCCCCCAUCUGAAAUAGAACCUUGGGGCCAAGGAACAGCCUGAGCUGGGGCCUCCGACCUUUCUCCACCUCUGGGAUAAGGAGCGGGCAGAAGGGCUGCCAUCCCCUUGGGGUACCUAAGGAGACUCCAGGCAGAAGCCCAAGUGCCACGAUUCUGCAGCCAGGGACAACAUCUUGGAUACCUGGUCUCCUAACCCUCUGGCAUCUAUGACCUUAUUCCCUGGGAUGGGCAUUCUCCUGGCCUGGCAUGAGCUCCCAGGGCACAGGGGAGAACCAGCCCUGUACUCUUACCCAAGCCACCUUGCAUGGUGCCCAGCAGAGGCCCAGCCAAGGGCCCUGAGAGCAGCAAGUCAGAGGGCUAUCCAGGAGUGGCUGUGAUGGACAUGUCGCGAGCCAUCUGUGGGCUGUGUGUGAGAGCUAUGCGCAUUGGAGUGAUAUGAAGGGACAGGUCUGGCGUUGCUCGCUGAUUGGGCUGUGCCACAUAAGUGUGCCUUUCCUCUCACUCCGCCUGUGAUCCCGCACAGCACCUGAGAUGGGUGUGACUUGCCAAGAUGGCAACCAAUCUGCUGACCACAAGACAUCACCGAGCAAGACUCCACUUUGGUUCGAUCCUCAGCACCACAUACAAACAAAGAUGUUGUGUCCGCC